GUUUGAGACUAUAAAAUAGUGGUGUCAACUUUACACACUAAACUCAUCACCCGAAUCUCUUCAACAAUGUCCAAUUCCUUCCCUCUCUACCAAAAAUUGGCCAUCAAAAAACCCAUACAAAGAUCUGUUGAACUUCUCAUUUUGAUUCUCGCCAUUUCCCUUCUUCUUUACCGUCUCCUUUACCUCCAAUCCCAUGCCCUCCUUUCGCUUCUCGCCUUCUUCUCCGAACUCUGUUUCACCUUCGACUGGUUUCUCUACCUUCUUUUAAAUUGGAAUCCCGUCGACUACAAAACAUACCCUCAACACUUCAAACAAGUUCAUGAGGUUCCUGCGGUGGACGUGUUGGUGACGACUGCGGAUUGGAAGCUUGAGCCGUCGGUUAUGGUGGCCAACACAGUGUUGUCUCUGUUGGCCGUAGAUUAUCCGGCUGGAAAACUUACUUGCUAUAUCUCCGACGAUGGGGGAUCUCCGGUUUUGCUAUACGCUCUUGUUGAAGCCUCGAAUUUUGCUAGAAUUUGGGUUCCUUUCUGUAAGAAGUAUAACGUCCAAGUUAGAGCUCCGUUUAGAUACUUCUCCGGUAAGUCUCCAUCCGCCGGCGGCCAUGAAUUCCAACAGGAGGAGAAGAGGAUGAAGGAUGAAUAUGAACGACUUCGUGAGAAGAUUGAAGCUGCGGAAGAGAACCCAAUGGUAUACGAAACUUCUAAAUACUAUGAAGCUUUUAGAAACACAGACAAGAAGAACCAUCCCACCAUUAUUAAGAUUUUAUUAGAAAACAAAGGGAAUGAUUCAAAUGGGAUACCAAAUUUGGUAUAUGUUGCAAGAGAAAAACGACCAAAUCAACCUCAUUACUACAAAGCUGGUGCUUUGAAUGUUUUGACAAGGGUAUCGGGAGUGAUGACAAAUGCGCCAUUUAUAGUAAAUAUAGAUUGCGACAUGUAUGUCAACAACCCAAAUGUCGUAGUAGAUGCCAUGUGUAUUCUAGUCGGAGCAACAGAAAAGGAAAGUGUUUUCGCGCAAUUCCCUCAAGUGUUUUACAAUCAACCCAAAGAUGAUCCAUUUGGGUGUCAAAUGAUUACCCUCUUCCAAAUGUUGUUACGUGGGAUGGCAGGAAUUCAAGGUCCUCUCUACAGUGGAUGUAAUUGCUUUCAUAGACGUAAAACUAUUUAUACCUUGAAUAGUUCACAGAACAAAACAGGAAAAAUUGAGGAGAAUUUUGGAGAAUCAGAAGAGUUGACCAAGGCAACGGAUGAAAUAUUAAGAGGGGUGAAGUCCAGUACUGAUCAUACAACAAAUCUUUCUACUUCCAUUCAGUCCGCGUAUCAAGUAGCAAGUGCCAACUACGAAAACAACACUGCCUGGGGUUUAAAGGUGGGAUGGUUAUAUGGGUCCAUGACAGAAGACAUCCUUAUGGGAAUAAAGAUCCAUUCAAAAGGGUGGAAAUCGGUGUUGGUGCUGCCAAACCCACCAGCCUUUAUGGGGUUGGCUUCCAUGGGUGGCUCUGAGACUCUGAUCCAAAGAAAGAGAUGGGUCACAGGCAUUUUGGAGAUAUUGAUCAGUAAAAACAACCCACUUUUAACUUUUUUCUUCACUCACCUCAAGUUUAGACAGUCUUUAGCUUACACAUAUUUCCUAACUCGAAGCCUCUUUGCCAUUCCCGAAUUAACUUAUGCCAUUCUUCCUGCCUAUGCCAUUCUCACCAACUCUCACUUCUUGCCUUCGGUCCAAGACACAGCUUUAUUGGCAAUCUUUGUACCCACAUUUAUCCUUUACCACUCCCAUUCAAUAAUAUUUGAGUAUCUCCAAUGGGGCUUAUCCCUUCAUGCAUGGUGGAACAAGGUAAGGAUGGAAAUGAUCUUGAGUACAAGUUCAUAUGCCUUUGGGAUUUUGAGCCUUGUUUUGAAGCUCUUUGGUAUUUCUGAGGCGGUGUUCGAAGUUACGCCUAAAGACCAAUCUGAUGCCGAUGCUACUAAUGCCAACCAUCACGACGUUGGGAGGUUUACAUUUGAUGAAUCACCGUUAUUUGUUCUCGGUACAACGUUAGUGUUAUUGAACUUGAUGGCAUUGUUGUUUGCCGCGUUUGUUGGGAUGCAACCGCUAAUAUUAUCGGUACCCAAUGAUGGGCGACAUCGCGGGUUCGGGAUAGGCGAGAUUUUGGGUUGUGUGUGGGUGUUGUUGACUCUUUUACCCUUCUUGAAAGGCUUGUUUGCUAAAGGAAAAUAUGGGAUCCCCUUUUCCACCAUAUGUAAAUCAGCUGCUUUGAUAUUGCUUUUUGUUGUACCCUUCUCCAAGUGGCUUUGAUGAAUUUUCUCUCUUUGAAUAAAAUAGUUGUUGUUCAAGUAUUGAUCA